rnacentral:rRNA from 1 species
AUUGAACGCUGGCGGCAUGCCUUACACAUGCAAGUCGAACGGUAACAGGUUAAGCUGACGAGUGGCGAACGGGUGAGUAAUGUAUCGGAACGUGCCCAGUCGCGGGGGAUAACUGCUCGAAAGAGCAGCUAAUACCGCAUACGACCUGAGGGUGAAAGCGGGGGAUCGCAAGACCUCGCGCGUUUGGAGCGGCCGAUAUCAGAUUAGGUAGUUGGUGAGGUAAAGGCUCACCAAGCCGACGAUCUGUAGCUGGUCUGAGAGGACGACCAGCCACACUGGGACUGAGACACGGCCCAGACUCCUACGGGAGGCAGCAGUGGGGAAUUUUGGACAAUGGGCGCAAGCCUGAUCCAGCCAUGCCGCGUGCGGGAAGAAGGCCUUCGGGUUGUAAACCGCUUUUGUCAGGGAAGAAAAGGUUCUGGCUAAUACCUGGGACUCAUGACGGUACCUGAAGAAUAAGCACCGGCUAACUACGUGCCAGCCGCCGCGGUAAGAC